rnacentral:rRNA from 1 species
GUGUCAGCAGCCGCGGUAAUACGAAGGGUGCAAGCGUUAAUCGGAAUUACUGGGCGUAAAGCGUGCGUAGGUGGUUCGUUAAGUCUGUUGUGAAAGCCCUGGGCUCAACCUGGGAAUGGCGAUGGAUACUGGCGAGCUAGAGUACGGUAGAGGAUGGUGGAAUUCCCGGUGUAGCGGUGAAAUGCGUAGAGAUCGGGAGGAACAUCAGUGGCGAAGGCGGCCAUCUGGACCAGUACUGACGCUGAGGCACGAAAGCGUGGGGAGCAAACAGGAUUAGAUACCCCCGUAGUCC